rnacentral:rRNA from 1 species
UGGGGAAUCUUGCACAAUGGGGGAAACCCUGAUGCAGCGACGCCGCGUGAGCGAUGAAGGUUUUCGAAUCGUAAAGCUCUGUCCUAUGGGAAGAUAAUGACGGUACCAUAGGAGGAAGCCCCGGCUAACUUCGUGCCAGCAGCCGCGGUAAUACGUAGGGGGCGAGCGUUGUCCGGAAUUACUGGGCGUAAAGGGUUCGCAGGCGGCAUGACAAGUCCGAUGUAAAAGGCGAAAGCUCAACUUUCGUAAGCAUCGGAAACUGUCAAGCUUGAGUGAAGGAGAGGCAAGUGGAAUUCCUAGUGUAGCGGUGGAAUGCGUAGAUAUUAGGAGGAAUACCGGUGGCGAAGGCGACUUGCUGGACUUCAACUGACGCUGAGGAACGAAAGCGUGGGUAGCAAACAGG